AUGCUGGUCGCCGUCACCAGCGACCUCGCCGCCGCCCCGUCACCAGCGACCGAGCCGCCUCCCCAUCCGCCCUCGUUCACCGUCCCACCCCCUCUUCAGCGCCGGCAGGGCGUCUCCGCGCUCGCCGCGUCUAUGGGCAUCGCCAUCGGCCUCUCCUCUCCGGCACCGGCAGGGCGACACCGCAAGCGACGCGCGGGAGCAGCUCCAGCUCGAGGGGAUGCGGUUGUGGCGGAGGCCGAGUGCCGUCUACUCGCCUUCAUCGCCGCGGCGAGCAUCGAGGCUGUGUCCCUCUACGAGCUCUUCACGCGGCGCUAA
rnacentral:rRNA from 1 species